UGAUUCUGUUUGUGCACAUGGGCUUAAAU
rnacentral:piRNA from 1 species